rnacentral:rRNA from 1 species
AUUGAACGCUGGCGGCAGGCCUAACACAUGCAAGUCGAGCGAGCGGCGGACGGGUGAGUAAUUUCUGGGGAUCUGCCCGAUAGAGGGGGAUAACUACUGGAAACGGUUGCUAAUACCGCAUACUAUCGGAUGAACCCAUAUGGGAUUAGCUAGUAGGGUGGGUAAAGGCUCACCUAGGCGACGAUCUCUAGCUGGUCUGAGAGGAUGAUCAGCAACACGGGGACGGAGACACGGACCAGACUCCUACGGGAGGCAGCAGUGGGGAAUAUUGCACAAUGGGCGCAAGCCUGAUGCAGCCAUGCCGCGUGUAUUAAGAAGGCCUUAGGGUUGUAAAGUACUUUCAGCGGGGAGGCGUUACCCGCAGAAGAAGCACCGGCUAACUCCGUGCCAGCAGCCGCGGUAAUAC